AACGAACGCUGGCGGCAUGCCUAACACAUGCAAGUCGAACGAGACCUCCGGGUCUAGUGGCGCACGGGUGCGUAACGCGUGGGAACCUUCCCUUAGGUUCGGAAUAACUCCCCGAAAGGGGUGCUAAUACCGGAUAAUGUCUUCGGACCAAAGACUUAUCGCCUUUGGAUGGGCCCGCGUUGGAUUAGCUAGUUGGUAGGGUAAAAGCCUACCACGGCGACGAUCCAUAGCUGGUCAGAGAGGAUGAUCAGCCACACUGGGACUGCGACACGGCCCAGACUCCUACGGGAGGCAGCAAUGGGGAAUAUUGGACAGUGGGCGAAAGCGUGAUCCAGCAAUGCCGCGUGAGUGAUGAAGGCCUUAGGGUUGUAAAGCUCUUUUACCCGGGAUGAUAAUGACAGUACCGGGAGAAUAAGCUCCGGCUAACUCCGUG
rnacentral:rRNA from 1 species